rnacentral:rRNA from 1 species
AGGAGCUUGCUCUUUCAUUUAGUGGCGCACGGGUGAGUAACGCGUAGAUAAUCUGCCUUGGACUCUGGGAUAACAUCUCGAAAGGGGUGCUAAUACCGGAUAAGCCCACGAUGGCGUAAGUCAUUGCGGGAAAAGGGGGCCUCUGAAUAUGCUCCUGAUUCAAGAUGAGUCUGCGUACCAUUAGCUAGUUGGUAGGGUAAGAGCCUACCAAGGCGACGAUGGUUAGCUGGUCUGAGAGGAUGAUCAGCCACACUGGAACUGAGACACGGUCCAGACUCCUACGGGAGGCAGCAGUGGGGAAUUUUGCGCAAUGGGGGAAACCCUGACGCAGCAACGCCGCGUGAGUGAUGAAGGCUUUCGGGUCGUAAAGCUCUGUCUAGAGGGAAGAAAUGAUAGUCGGCUAAUACCCGGUUUUCUUGACGGUACCUCUGAAGGAAGCACCGGCUAACUCCGUGCCAGCAGCCGCGGUAAUACGGAGGGUGCAAGCGUUGUUCGGAUUUAUUGGGCGUAAAGCGCGUGUAGGCGGUUUGUUAAGUCUGAUGUGAAAGCCCUGGGCUCAACCUGGGAAGUGCAUUGGAAACUGGCAGACUUGAAUACGGGAGAGGGUAGUGGAAUUCCUAGUGUAGGAGUGAAAUCCGUAGAUAUUAGGAGGAACACCGGUGGCGAAGGCGGCUACCUGGACCGAUAUUGACGCUGAGACGCGAAAGCGUGGG